rnacentral:rRNA from 1 species
GCAGUGCGGUGUACAUGCAGUCGAACGGUGAACCCCGCUUGCGGGGUGGAUCAGUGGCGAACGGGUGAGCCACUCGUGAGCAAUCUGCCCCUGACUCUGGGAUAAGCGCUGGAAACUGCGUCUAAUACUGGAUAUGAAUCGUGAAGGCAUCUUCAACGGUUGGAAAGAUUUUUCGGUCUGGGAUGAGCUCGCGGCCUAUCAGCUUGUUGGUGAGGUAAUGGCUCACCAAGGCGUCGACGGGUAGCCGGCCUGAGAGGGUGACCGGCCACACUGGGACUGAGACACGGCCCAGACUCCUACGGGAGGCAGCAGUGGGGAAUAUUGCACAAUGGGCGGAAGCCUGAUGCAGCAACGCCGCGUGAGGGAUGACGGCCUUCGGGUUGUAAACCUCUUUUAGCAGGGAAGAAGCGGAAGUGACGGUACCUGCAGAAAAAGCGCCGGCUAACUACGUGCCAGCAGCCGCGGUAAUACGUAGGGCGCAAGCGUUAUCCGGAAUUAUUGGGCGUAAAGAGCUCGUAGGCGGUUUGUCGCGUCUGCUGUGAAAUCUGGAGGCUCAACCUCCAGCCUGCAGUGGGUACGGGCAGACUAGAGUGCGGUAAGGGAGAUUGGAAUUCCUGGUGUAGCGGUGGAAUGCGCAGAUAUCAGGAGGAACACCGAUGGCGAAAGCAGAUCUCUGGGGCGUAACUGACGCUGAGGAGCGAAAAGGUGGGGAGCAAACAGGCUUAAAUACCCCUGGAGUCCACCCCCCAAACGUUGGGAACUAAUUGUGGGGUCCCUUUCCCCGAUUCCGUGACCCAGCUUACGCCUUAAGUUCCCCCCCCGGGGGGGACGGGCGCCAGGGUUAAA